rfam:Cavia porcellus supercont2_108 genomic scaffold, whole genome shotgun sequence.
CCAAAGGCUCUUUUCAGAGCCACCAUCCUAUCAAAGAGAGAGCUGU